CAAUAGCGUAUAUUAACGUUGUUGCAGUUAAAAAGCUCGUAGUUGGAUUUCUGGAGGGAGCGUCGGCCCGUAUUUACGAGUGCGUGACGUCUCUGUCCAUCCUUGCGGGAAGGCACGGCAUUGAUUUGUUGUGUCGGAUCGCAUCAUUUACUGUGAAAAAAUUAGAGUGUUCAAAGCAGGCUUUCGCUUGAAUACAUUAGCAUGGAAUAAUAAGAUAGGACUUUGGUGCUGUUUUGUUGGUUGAGCCUAAAGUAAUGAUUAAUAGGGAUAGUUGGGGGCACCUGUAUUGCGUUGUCAGAGGUGAAAUUCUUGGAUUUACGCAAGACAAACAGCUGCGAANGNGUCUGCNAAGGAUGUUUNCAUUA
rnacentral:rRNA from 1 species